UAUAAACCACAUUAUAUAAACUACCGUUCUGUUAGCUACAGUAUCAGAUAUUUCACAGCGAAACAUCCGACUCUUACUUAACAUGGGCAAGGAAAGGACCAGCGUCAACAUGGCCGUCGUCGGCUACUACUAGAGCCAUUUUGAGAUGGACAUCUGGUAUAAUUCGGAUAUGACAUGGCUUCUGUACUUGGAGACGCUCUGGACACGGACAACAUGAUGCUAGCUUUCCUGGACUACACUUCAACAUUUUUUAUCUUUUGUACAUAAAAAUAAAAAAUACAAAAUUAUCCGGCUAUUA